rnacentral:rRNA from 1 species
UAUGUAGGCGGUUCUCCAAGUCUGGUGUGAAAUCUCCCGGCUCAACCGGGAGGGUGCAUUGGAAACUGGGGGGCUGGAGUGCGGGAGAGGGAAGCGGAAUUCCUGGUGUAGCGGUGAAAUGCGUAGAUAUCAGGAGGAACACCCGCGGUGUAGACGGCUUCCUGGACCGUAACUGACGCUGAGAUACGAAAGCGUGGGGAGCAAACAG